CCUACGGGUGGCAGCAGUGAGGAAUAUUGGUCAAUGGACGCAAGUCUGAACCAGCCAAGCAGCGUGCAGGAAGACUGCUCUAUGGGUUGUAAACUUCUUUUGUAUGAGAAUAAACCAAGGUAUGUGUACCCGCCUGUAAGUAUCAUAUGAAUAAGGAUCGGCUAACUCCGUGCCAGCAGCCGCGGUAAUACGGAGGAUUCAAGCGUUAUCCGGAUUUAUUGGGGUUAAAGGGUGCGUAGGUGGUCGGUUAAGUUAGAGGUGAAAGUUUGAGGCUCAACCGCAGAAUUGCCGUUGAUACUGGUAGGCUAGAGUACAGUAGAGGUAGGCGGAAUGUGUGGUGUAGCGGUGAAAUGCUUAGAGAUCAUGAAGAACUCCGAUUGCGAAGGCAGCUUACCAGGCUGCUACUGACGUUGAGGCACGAAAGCGUGGGUAUCAAACAGGAUUAGAUACCCCUGUAGUC
rnacentral:rRNA from 1 species